CCGCGUGAAGGAAGAAGGUUUUCGGAUCGUGAACUUCUAUCAGCAGGGAAGAUAGUGACAGUACCUGACUAAGAAGCCCCGGCUAACUACGUGCCAGCAGCCGCGGUAAUACGUAGGGGGCAAGCGUUAUCCGGAUUUACUGGGAGUAAAGGGUGCGUAGGCGGCAAAGUAAGUCAGAUGUGAAAGCCCGAAGCUCAACUUCGGGACUGCAUUUGAAACUGCUUAGCUAGAGUGCAGGAGAGGAAAGUGGAAUUCCUAGUGUAGCGGUGAAAUGCGUAGAUAUUAGGAGGAACACCAGUGGCGAAGGCGACUUUCUGGACUGUUACUGACACUGAGGCACGAAAGCGUGGGGAGCGAACAGGAUUAGAUACCCUGGUAGUCCACGCUGUAAACGAUGAAUACUAGGUGUCGGGGGUCGAGCCUCGGUGCCGCAGCUAACGCAUUAAGUAUUCCGCCUGGGGAGUACGCACGCAAGUGUGAAACUCAAAGGAUUUGACGGA
rnacentral:rRNA from 1 species